CACUCUGCGCUUCUCACCACUCCAAACAAUCGCUCUCAGCGAAUUCCUCCCCCAUUGCUCUCUUGCCGUCGACGUCCUCAGCCUUCACUCUCUCACUUAUCUCUCUCAAUCUCUCGAUCGCUUAACCUCACUCACCGCCGCUCUCCAUCUCUCGCAUACCACACAAUCUCUCUCACUCUAAAAUGCAAGGGUCCAAGGUUUUUAAGGAGAAACAAGGAGAAAGAGGCUCACCUUUGGCGAAAACAAACGGAGACGAUGAAGCCUAAAACUCCCUCCUCCGCCUCUACAAACCAGGGUUUUCAGGAUGGCAUAUGGAGCUCAAAAGAGUAUCCUGCAAAACCCCCUUCUGGAUGGUCAGGUUUUGGUCGCCCUAAUCGAUGCUUGGGUUGGAACAGGACGGCCAUUAUUCAAGGCCUUCAAUAGAGCUUCUUCUUUGGUAAAAUUAUUUACACAAAUGCUGAUUCAACACAGUGCAGUUCAAGGUGGACAGGGCAUGGUGACGAAUUGGAAUGCUUAUGGACUAUGCUCACGGAGGAUUGCAAUUGCUGCAGGUUGCUUAUUUUGCAUUCAGUGCAAAUAUCUCCUUCUGUCGACAUGCCGCCUGAGACUCUAGUUCCUCAAUUUGCAGUUUUGCAGCGAACAGCUCUUCAACCUUUCAUUCCAUCAUUCAAUAUUCCUUCAAACUGAAUAUUCAAUACACCCAAUCCAAUAGGUACUAAUGGACGCAGGACUAAUCCAUGGCCAUUUCCUUAAAGUGAGGCUUGUAAUGCAAUUGUGCAUCCCCUGAACACCGGAAAUGCAGAAAAGUAUGAUGAGCACCCACAUAAACCAUGUUGUCAUGAAGAAGAACAGCAGAACAAGAAAGGUAGAUGCUGCUAUGACAAAUACGACAGCGGCCUUUGAAUUAAUCUUAAGAACUUGCUUAUCAUCACCAUCUCUUGUUGUGAAACUGGUGUUUGGUUUUUUUUUAAUUGCAGGGCUAUGAUUAUUUUUACAAUUGCAGGAUUCACAACUUCCCAACUUUGCCCAUUUCAUUAUCAAACGUUUGUUGCACAUUAGUAAUAGGAAUACUGCAAUUUUCAACACAAUGGCUUAUCUCCUCCUGCCUUCUGCUUCUAUCAAAGCACACAUAUGCACAUUUAAAAUAGGCUUUCUGAAGAGUGUAGUUGACAUGGUCUUGAACAGGGGCAAGCUGAGUUUGAGCAGCUACAUUCACUUCCUCAAGUUUUUGCCUAAGUCUCUGAGAAGCUAAUUGUUCUU